rnacentral:rRNA from 1 species
GAAUCUGCCUGGUAGUGGGGGAUAACGUUCGGAAACGGACGCUAAUACCGCAUACGUCCUACGGGAGAAAGCAGGGGACCUUCGGGCCUUGCGCUAUCAGAUGAGCCUAGGUCGGAUUAGCUAGUUGGUGGGGUAAUGGCUCACCAAGGCUACGAUCCGUAACUGGUCUGAGAGGAUGAUCAGUCACACUGGAACUGAGACACGGUCCAGACUCCUACGGGAGGCAGCAGUGGGGAAUAUUGGACAAUGGGCGAAAGCCUGAUCCAGCCAUGCCGCGUGUGUGAAGAAGGUCUUCGGAUUGUAAAGCACUUUAAGUUGGGAGGAAGGGUUGUAGAUUAAUACUCUGCAAUUUUGACGUUACCGACAGAAUAAGCACCGGCUAACUCUGUGCCAGCAGCCGCGGUAAUACAGAGGGUGCAAGCGUUAAUCGGAAUUACUGGGCGUAAAGCGCGCGUAGGUGGUUUGUUAAGUUGGAUGUGAAAUCCCCGGGCUCAACCUGGGAACUGCAUUCAAAACUGACUGACUAGAGUAUGGUAGAGGGUGGUGGAAUUUCCUGUGUAGCGGUGAAAUGCGUAGAUAUAGGAAGGAACACCAGUGGCGAA